rnacentral:rRNA from 1 species
GACGAACGCUGGCGGCGUGCCUAAUACAUGCAAGUAGAACGCUGAAGAGAGGAGCUUGCUCUUCUUGGAUGAGUUGCGAACGGGUGAGUAACGCGUAGGUAACCUGCCUUGUAGCGGGGGAUAACUAUUGGAAACGAUAGCUAAUACCGCAUAACAAUGGAUGACACAUGUCAUUUAUUUGAAAGGGGCAAUUGCUCCACUACAAGAUGGACCUGCGUUGUAUUAGCUAGUAGGUGAGGUAAUGGCUCACCUAGGCGACGAUACAUAGCCGACCUGAGAGGGUGAUCGGCCACACUGGGACUGAGACACGGCCCAGACUCCUACGGGAGGCAGCAGUAGGGGAUCUUCGGCAAUGGGGGCAACCCUGACCGAGCAACGCCGCGUGAGUGAAGAAGGUUUUCGGAUCGUAAAGCUCUGUUGUAAGUCAAGAACGGGUGUGAGAGUGGAAAGUUCACACUGUGACGGUAGCUUACCAGAAAGGGACGGCUAACUACGUGCCAGCAGCCGCGGUAAUACGUAGGUCCCGAGCGUUGUCCGGAUUUAUUGGGCGUAAAGCGAGCGCAGGCGGUUUGAUAAGUCUGAAGUUAAAGGCUGUGGCUCAACCAUAGUUCGCUUUGGAAACUGUCAAACUUGAGUGCAGAAGGGGAGAGUGGAAUUCCAUGUGUAGCGGUGAAAUGCGUAGAUAUAUGGAGGAACACCGGUGGCGAAAGCGGCUCUCUGGUCUGUAACUGACGCUGAGGCUCGAAAGCGUGGGGAGCGAACAGGAUUAGAUACCCUGGUAGUCCACGCCGUAAACGAUGAGUGCUAGGUGUUGGAUCCUUUCCGGGAUUCAGUGCCGCAGCUAACGCAUUAAGCACUCCGCCUGGGGAGUACGACCGCAAGGUUGAAACUCAAAGGAAUUGACGGGGGCCCGCACAAGCGGUGGAGCAUGUGGUUUAAUUCGAAGCAACGCGAAGAACCUUACCAGGUCUUGACAUCCCGAUGCUAUUUCUAGAGAUAGAAAGUUACUUCGGUACAUCGGUGACAGGUGGUGCAUGGUUGUCGUCAGCUCGUGUCGUGAGAUGUUGGGUUAAGUCCCGCAACGAGCGCAACCCCUAUUGUUAGUUGCCAUCAUUCAGUUGGGCACUCUAGCGAGACUGCCGGUAAUAAACCGGAGGAAGGUGGGGAUGACGUCAAAUCAUCAUGCCCCUUAUGACCUGGGCUACACACGUGCUACAAUGGUUGGUACAACGAGUUGCGAGUCGGUGACGGCGAGCUAAUCUCUUAAAGCCAAUCUCAGUUCGGAUUGUAGGCUGCAACUCGCCUACAUGAAGUCGGAAUCGCUAGUAAUCGCGGAUCAGCACGCCGCGGUGAAUACGUUCCCGGGCCU